CUCUCGGCAACGGAUAUCUCGGCUCUCGCAUCGAUGAAGAACGUAGCGAAAUGCGAUACCUAGUGUGAAUUGCAUAAUCCCGUGAACCAUCGAGUCUUUGAACGCAAGUUGCGCCCGAGGCCAUCCGGCUAAGGGCACGCCUGCCUGGGUGUCAC
rnacentral:rRNA from 1 species